rnacentral:lncRNA from 1 species
GGAAUGGGGAACCUGGACAGCUCCAGCAAUCUUACUGCAGAAGGUGCUUCUGGGUGGAUCCCAGGCAGAGGAAUCAGAGGCAAAACAUGGAGGGAGUGAACUCCUGAAAUCACUUGGGUUCUGAAUCCAGCCAAGCCCGAAACCAGCCCUGCCCUGGGCUUUUCAGCUCAACCUACUGCCUGCCCAGGGCCAUCAAUAAUAAAUGUCCACAGACAGCUGAAGGACAUUAAAGACAGAUGGUGAUGGAUCAGAGCACUCAUCAGCCACUGGGUGUAGACUGUAUAAAAAGCUGAGCCCAGAGGCCACCAUGAUCAACCUGCAACCUGGCAAGAAAUGGACUCAACUCCACAGACAGCAGUUGUCAGGGAGCCCAGACAUGUAAGGAUGCGGCAAAGGCCCUCGCCAGAUGCUGA